rnacentral:misc_RNA from 1 species
AAGAAUAUGAUGGGGGGCUGACGAAUUCAACCAGCUAGAAAAUAAGUUUACCAACUUGAUGUAUUUGAUUGAAUUUAAAAUUUGUAAAAACAACCCUGGAAUCUACAAAACUUUAGCAAGCCAAUCGCUGGAAUUGAGGGUGUUAGCUGCAAUAAAUCCAUCAAACUUAAGACAGAUUAUAAUUUAACUGAAAAAUACACAGCAUGAAAAAAAAAAAGAACUU